GGGGGGGGGGGGGGGGGGGGGGGGGGGGGGGGGGGGGGGGGGGGGGGGGGAGCUUGCGGCUGGAGUGAGCGGCGGAGGGGUGGGUAGGGCCUAGGAGUAUGCCUGGUAGUGGGGGGUGGCGUCCGGAACCGGGCGCUCAUAGCGCAUCCGGCCUGAGGGAGAAAGUGGGGGAUCUUCGGACCUCACGCUAUCAGAUGAGCCUAUGUCGGAUUAGCUAGUUGGUGGGGUAAAGGCCUACCAAGGCGACGAUCCGUAACUGGUCUGAGAGGAUGAUCAGUCACACUGGAACUGAGACACGGUCCAGACUCCUACGGGAGGCAGCAGUGGGGAAUAUUGGACAAUGGGCGAAAGCCUGAUCCAGCCAUGCCGCGUGUGUGAAGAAGGUCUUCGGAUUGUAAAGCACUUUAAGUUGGGAGGAAGGGCAGUAAGUUAAUACCUUGCUGUUUUGACGUUACCAACAGAAUAAGCACCGGCUAACUUCGUG
rnacentral:rRNA from 1 species